rnacentral:lncRNA from 1 species
CCACUCGGCAUUCAAAGCUCACAUUCAAGCCAACGCGAUCCACAUCGGAAGAACCACCAUUUCCCACGCUUCCAACGGCUAAAAGGGUUCUUCCGGGUUUUAUUAUUUCUCAUUGUUAUAUUUGCUUCUUAAGAGCUUUCAAAUCUUUUGUAAAACAUUGAUUAUUGUGCUUGUUCCAGUCAAGGGACUUGGAACAAGGGAUAGGCGUCCCAAGCCUAGGUUAAAUUGGAGGAUUGUAGGGUUCGUUGUUAGCCCGGUGUAAAACAACGAGUUGGGUAGUGCACUCGCAAAACUACCGUACUGUAAUCGUUGAUUAUAGUGAAAAUUCCCAAAGGUGUUUGGGGAGUGGAUGUAGGAGCAGUGGAAGCUCCGAACCACUAUAAAACCUUGUGUUUGUGAUUGACUAUUCUUAUACCUCUAUCUUUACUUUAGCACAUACACUUGUGUGUUUUAUUUUUAAUUAGACAAAAAAAUCUUAAAACACCCAAUUCACCCCCCUCUUGGGUGACCAUCUCUGGGCAACAAGUGGUAUCAGAGCGGGUGCUCUGUGUAUUUCUUGAAGACCUAACCGUCUUAGCCAAAGAUCUAGAUGGCAACACCCUUCAACAAUGUUCCUGCUGAGGGGCAGGCAACCAAUAGACCUCCACUCUUCAAUGGAACAAAUUAUACCUAUUGGAAGACUAGAAUAAGGAUUUUUAUUCAAGCACAAGAUUAUGCCUUAUGGAGGGUUAUAAUCAAGGGACCACACGAACCAUCUCACAUGGUUAAUGGCAUUCAAGUUCCCAAACCUGAGGAGGAUUGGGAUG